UUUCUUUCUCUCUCUAAAAAAUAAAACCUCAGUUUAUUUUUCUUUCUUCACUUUGUUGUAUAUGUCUAAAACAGAGAAAUGAGAAAGAACAAAUAGAUCGAAAACGACGAUCUAAGCUUCUUCAAUAAUGCAUUGCAGAUUCUUAAUAGGAACUAUUACAAGGAUGUGGGUUUCAGGGAAGGUAACCAAAGUUUAGAGUCUUCUGGGAAACUACUCGAUGAGAGUUCUUAAUGAGGAAUCCAGCAGUUGCGGCUAGCCCCUAUUUUAUGGAGAUAAAACACUGACAAAUGGGCAAUAUUAUCAUAACCAUCUUCCAAGUGUCGCAGCAGAUGUAUGUUCAGCAUAUGAUAAGGAUGUUGUGAAAAGGUGAUGCUUGAGCACCAGGCCAUAAUUAAAAAUCAGGUGUCCGAAAUGCAUGGAAUUGAAGCUUCCUCGUGAAGGUUCUGCAUUCUGGUAUGUGAUUGUGUUCUACUGUAAGUUGUUUGAAGUUCCAUUAUUUUGGUUAUUUAAUCUUUAUAGGUAAGUAUGAAAUGAAAUAGCCAUGAGGAUAGAUUCUAUAUGAUCUUUUAGAAUAUUUAGGGAAUGUUUGGUAUGCUGCAACUGCAGCAUAAUGCUUGAUUUGCUCCAGUGUUGUCAAAUAGUGGAUAUAGUAGUGGCUUUAUGGUGCAGCGGAUAUGAAAAAGCUUCUAUUUUUUAUGCGAUACACAAUUUAGUGUAAAGUGUUGCCAAAUAGAGGCUAUAACAUUGUAGAAUAGUAGAAUUCAAAUAGAACAUUAUUUUCUGCUAUCUGUGACAUACAACUUAGAUAUGAUCCUGACCAAUAGUAUUGUUAUAGUUUUAUUGUAAAAAAAAAAAAGAAAUUAGUAGUGAUUGAUCUAGCUAAAUAUUUAUAACAUAUUGGUUUAGUUAUUAGGGAUUAGCAUUUGUGAAUAGAAAUUAGUUUAAAUGUAAUUAUUUAGUGUAAUUACCGAUAUAGCCCUGUAACUUUUAUAUAUACGAGAAAUAAUAAUGAGAAAAGUAUGAAGCCAAAAAUUAUUGACAUGGUAUUAGAGCCUCGUUUAAGAUCCGGUGGGCCACCUUCUUUGGCUUCCGCUAUCGGGCCACCCAUCAUUUAUUUCUACGCUCCAAUUGUCUAGUCCUGGGCGUGAGGGGUGUAUUAAGAGUCUCACAUCGGACAAUAUAUAGCCUGAACAUGUCCUUAUAAGUGGGGGCAAUCCUCAUCCUACUAGCCGGUUUGGUAGGGUGGGUUAGGUCUAACCACAAUUCUUAACAUGGUAUCAGAGGUGCAGAUCAAUACUAGUAGGCGAGAUCAAUUUCUCAUGAAGCUUCGUGCAGAAUUUGAGGUUGUCAGAGGUGUUUUGCUUAAUAGGAAUCCUGUUCCUUCUUUAGAUACAUGUGUUGGUGAACUUCUCAAAGAGGAACAACGUCUUGCUACUCAAGGAUCCAUGUCUCAUGAUGUUGUCAUUUCUGAGUCUGCUAUGUUUGCAUAUGCUCCUCAGAGUAGAGGUAAAGGUCGUGAUAUUCGACAUGUCCAAUGUUUCUCUUGCAAACAAUUUGGACAUUUUGCUCAGAGUUGUAGUAAGAAGUUUUGUAAUUAUUGCAUGCAGCGGGGCCAUAUUAUCUCUGAUUGUCCCACCCGUCCUCCACGAUCAGCACAACGUUCGGUGCAAGCAUUUCCUGCUAGUACAAGCUCUGCAGUAGGUCCUUCCAUCACCAAUCCAUCUAAUGGUGGUGCUCUCCAACCUGAAAUAAUCCAACAGAUGGUACUUUCCGCUCUUUCAACCUUGGGAAUUCAGGGUAAGUCUUCGAAUGUUUCCUGCCCGUGGUUUCUUGAUUAUGGUGCAUCCAAUCACAUGACAGCCUCUUCUGAAUACUUGCACAAUUUACAUUCUUACUGUUAAGAUACGAAAGGCUAAGAGGCAUUUGAAUAAACCGUGUGUCUUGUAAAGCACUACGGAGACUUUAUUAUAUAUAGAGAGAUUACAGCUAAUUACAUAAUAUAGUCGAUGUGGGACUAUUCUAUAUACAAAUAUUCUUAACACUAUAUUUACAAAUAUCAACACUCCCCCUCAAGCUUGAGCAUAUAAGUCAAAUGCACCAAGCUUGCCACAUAUAUAAUUAGUUCUGGGACUUCGCAGGGAUUUUGUAAACACAUAUGCUAAUUGAUCAUUGGAGUUGACAAAACUUGUAACAAUUUCGCCUGAUUCAAUCUUCUCUCUGACAAAGUGACAGUCUAUGUCAUACCCCAAAAUUUGCCCAUGCUAUUUUUCAUACAUAAAACCAAAUCAAAAGACAAAGCUCCAAAACACACUCUCCUAUACAAAAGCUCUGAACUAGGGUUUGAUUGAUUCAAUGGAAAAUCAUUGAAUCAAUGGCUCAAGGUGGUUCCAUAGGUUCACCAACAUCCCAAAGUAUAUCCAUAUAAAGUUUCAAGUCAAACAGAGCAAAUUUAGUCCCUCAAAUCCUGAUUAGGUCAACAGUCGACUCCCAAGGGCAAAACAGUCAUUAUACAGUCAAAACUCAAGAUAUUUGGUCAACAACAUUCUCAUAACCCUAAAAUCAUCAUUUGAUCAAGGGUUGAUCAUGAUGAUGCAAGGAAAGAUCAGAGAAGUCAAAAGUCAAGAGUUACUAUUUUGGGCAUGAACUAAAAAAGUCAACCAAACUUUGAAAAUUCACCAAAUAUUCAUACUUCAUCAGAAAAAUUCCCACCAAAGCUCAUUUUGAAGGGAAUUCAUUCCUCUAUCCAAUGGCCCAAGAAUCAGAGCUCAUAGGUCAACGGUUUAAGAGAUAUGGCUUCAUACAUUAUAAGUCCUUUUCAAAAGUCAACAAGAAGACACUUUUUUCAAAAGAACAUAAAAUGAACAUGGAAAAUAAUUUUGAUAUGAGACCAAAGACACUGGUUAGAAGACUCUUCAAGGUUUCUAAAAAGUCCUAGAACACCUCCAUACCUCAAAAAUUGAGAGAAAUAGGCUUUGUCAAAGUUGGACUAUUUUGGAGGGAAAAAUGUGAAGAAGUUUGAAUUUUCUUGCUAAUGGGCCUAUAUUUUUAAGACCCAAACUUGCUCCUUGUGACAUUGAGAGCCCAUAAACAAUUUGCCACGAAUUUAUGUGAUUUUAAUUAAUUUUAUAAGAAUUUUAUUCACUUAAAAUUCAAUAAAAUUAAGGAAAAUUAAAAAGAUUUGGAAGGAAAUUGGUUGUGAAUCAAAUCCAAUCACAUCUAUACCUUAUUAUUUAUAUAAUUUUCGUGCAAAAUAAAGAAAAAAAGAUUGGAUUACUCUUGGCCAAAUAUAGAAGGAUUCCAUAGCAUAUUACAAAUCAAAUUUUCACAACUUGCAAAGAUUGAUUUAGCAAGAUUCUCUCCACAAAUAUUAACCUAAUUUGGUCCAUUAUAUAUAGUAAAGCUUCCCAGAUGCAAGGUUCACGAAUUUUUGCUCUCAAGAACCCUAAUCAAGCUCUAAAAAAAUUACGAGAAAAGUGAGAUUCUGUUUCUGAGUUUAAGGCCGAUUCAAUCCGAUCCAAGGCUUCCAACACGUUCCCUGAAGGUCUCUGGAGCAAUUGGGAUCAUCACACGCAAUCAACACCUCCAGAAUUGCCUCCAUUCAAGCAAGGUAAGUCGCCACUUUUCUUGAAUACGAUUGUGCUUGUCCAUGCAUCAUUCUUGAAAUUCAAUCAUAUAUUAUUGAUCAUGGUGAUGUUCUGAUACUACCUGGAAGCGUAAUUGCGUUUAUACACUGUUUUGAGUAGUUUACCAUAAUUAGGGUUUGGAAUCUCCAAUUGGGGAUUUGCGUUUUAGGAAAAAUUAGGAGUAAUACCAGGUACCAUCGUGCUCGUGAGUCUUGGACGAUCGCAAUGGUGUGGUCGCGCCAAAUUUUUGGUUGUGUCUUCUUGCUUUCGUGACUUGCAGGCUAUAGCUACGAAACGCGUCCGUUGGUAAAGCCUAUUUACAGAGCGAAGACGACGGAAGGGAGGUUGAAGAUGAGACGUGGCAUGCCCUCACUGGCCAAAAAACGCGCGCUGAGUUUCUUUCAAAUUCAGGGAUCGAGUGCAUUAAGACGCAUGUGUUAUCAUGUGUCUUCCUCAUCAGAGCCAUCAGAUGCGCACCCCAUCAAUCCAACGCCUCAAAACUGCCAGCGCACCAUGAUCCACCAUACGUGAGCCACACGGAAUCAAACAGCUAAGUUUUGCAAUUUUUUUUAUUUUUUAUUGCAUAGCGUUUUUUUUUGUUUAUAAUAUAUAUUAUUUGUUUUCAAUAUUUUUUUCUCUAUUAUAUAAAAUCUAUUAUAUCUUUUUAUUUUCAAAAACUUUUUAUAUAAUAAAUGUUUAUUUAUUUAUUUUUUAUACUUAUGUAUUUUUUUAUUACAUUUAUAAUAUUUGUUUUCUUUAUUUAUAUUUAGUUACUAAUACCUAAUAUAUGUAUUUAUUAUAUUAUAUUUAUAUAAUUAAUAUUAAUAUUAUUUUCUUAUAUAAUUAUUUAAUUUAUCAUUUUAAAUUACACUUAUUACUUCUAUUUAUUCAAAAAAUUUACAAAAAAUCACUUUUUGCAUUCGAUUUAAUUUUAUUUUCCCGAUUUAAUUAAUUAGGUCGCGAGACCAAUAAUUAAUUAAAUCGUACGCAUUUGUUUCAUUUAAUUCGUACCCUAAUCAGGGUUUACAAAGAUCAUGCCCUACACUGAAUGUUUUUAUUUAUGCCUUUUCAGGGUUACCUUUCAAACGCUUUCCGACUACGAACCACGAUCCAAAGCUAAGUACCCUAUUUAUUUUUAAAGUCUAUUUUAUUUCCUUUUAAAUUAGGGUUACUUUUUGAACACCGCAUACACUCACAUCCAUUAUUUUGCCUUUGCCCUUGUUUCAGGGUUUACCUCCGAGGCAACCUCCGACUCUAACCAUAUCAGAUCAAAUGCAAAGCUAAGUAUCUAUUCUUCUUUAGUUAUUUAUUUAGCCUUUACAAUAUUUAUCCUUUAUUUUAGGUUUAGUUAUUUUGCCUUCGAACCGAUAAUGCACUCACUGUACUUUGCCUUCUUGUUCUCCCUCCUUUUCAGGUUUAUCAAUUGCCAAAGCUACGUCAUUGGUAACCCUAAACCUCAUUUUAUUCUAUGCCUUUUAUUAUUAUUACUUGUGUCAAACCCUGAUAAGGGAUCCGCUGGUUUCAAUUUCCCCUCCCCUUUAUUGCUUUAUAUACUGCGUGGUUAGUAAAAUAGGGAGUGCAACCCUAAAUUAAUUAGAAUAACUAAACACAAGAUAAUAUAAUCUGAAUUGAAUCACAUGAUUGGUGCACACACGCACGCUUUUGGGUAACCCUCUCUGUUGCCUGUUGCCUGUUGCCUGUUGCCUUCGUUUUUCUGCAGAAUAAGCCAUGUCCCUCGAAUUCGAGGAUACCUCAGCCGUGUUGCCUCGGUAAAAAGGUCACGACCCUAAUGAUGCUGCCUUCGAUACACAAAUGACCUCGACCCUCGGAUGUUGCCUACGGAAAAGGCUGAGGUAUCUUCUGGCUGCCUACGAAAAGGCUUAUUCUGAUCCUUGCCUUAGACUACCUGCCCUUCUAUGGCAUGGGACAGUCUUAUGGCAAAGGAUAUUUCGAUGACCCUUAAACCUCCAAAUGAAAGGCUUCCUGCCCUCUUAUGGCAAGGAUAGACCCUUUCGCUCUGAAAGGCUGAAAGAACAGAUUUCUCAAAUAUAAGGUAAAUUGCUCUUAAAUUGCUUUGCCUUGCUCUAAAUAUUUUCAAAUAUUCUUUCUCAAAAUUCUUCAAUAUGGCUACGCUCAUUUACGAGCUAAAGUCCAUAUCUUCUUCUUCUACCUUUCUGAAACAAAAAGAGCAAAGCAAGUUAAGAGCCCAUGGAUAACCAUGGAUGCAAAGGGUGCCUUACACCUUCCCUUUGCAUAAUUACCCCCCGAACCCUAUUUUAUUUAAAAGGUUUUUCCUGUUCUUUUAGCCUUUCUAAUUAAUUUGGAUAAAAUAAAAGUCGGUGGCGACUCUUGCUAACCGCGACAUUUCGAUCGAUAAAAA